rnacentral:rRNA from 1 species
AGUGAACGCUGGCGGGAGGCCUAACACAUGCAAGUCGAACGGCAGCACAGUAAGAGCUUGCUCUUACGGGUGGCGAGUGGCGGACGGGUGAGGAAUACAUCGGAAUCUACUUUUUCGUGGGGGAUAACGUAGGGAAACUUACGCUAAUACCGCAUACGACCUACGGGUGAAAGCAUGGGAUCUUCGGACCUUGCGCGAUUGAAUGAGCCGAUGUCGGAUUAGCUAGUUGGCGGGGUAAAGGCCCACCAAGGCGACGAUCCGUAGCUGGUCUGAGAGGAUGAUCAGCCACACUGGAACUGAGACACGGUCCAGACUCCUACGGGAGGCAGCAGUGGGGAAUAUUGGACAAUGGGCGCAAGCCUGAUCCAGCCAUACCGCGUGGGUGAAGAAGGCCUUCGGGUUGUAAAGCACUUUUGUUGGGAAAGAAAAGCAGCAGGUUAAUACCCCGCUGUUCUGACGGUACCCAAAGAAUAAGCACCGGCUAACUUCGUG